rnacentral:tRNA from 1 species
GGGGGUGUAGCUCAGUGGUAGAGCUUGUGCUUCGUGUGCACAAAGUCCUAGGUUCUAUCUCCAGCACUGCAA